rnacentral:rRNA from 1 species
AAUAGAUACCCUGGUAGUCCACGCCGUAAACGAUGAGUGCUAAGUGUUAGGGGGUUUCCGCCCCUUAGUGCUGCAGCUAACGCAUUAAGCACUCCGCCUGGGGAGUACGGUCGCAAGACUGAAACUCAAAGGAAUUGACGGGGGCCCGCACAAGCGGUGGAGCAUGUGGUUUAAUUCGAAGCAACGCGAAGAACCUUACCAGGUCUUGACAUCCCACUGACCGCUAUGGAGACAUAGUUUUCCCUUCGGGGACAGUGGUGACAGGUGGUGCAUGGUUGUCGUCAGCUCGUGUCGUGAGAUGUUGGGUUAAGUCCCGCAACGAGCGCAACCCUUGAUCUUAGUUGCCAUCAUUUAGUUGGGCACUCUAAGGUGACUGCCGGUGACAAACCGGAGGAAGGUGGGGAUGACGUCAAAUCAUCAUGCCCCUUAUGACCUGGGCUACACACGUGCUACAAUGGACGGUACAAACGGUUGCCAACCCGCGAGGGGAGCUAAUCCGAUAAACGUNUCUNUGUGUNUG